rnacentral:lncRNA from 1 species
GAUUAUGAUUAAUCAAGGGUCAAUGUUAGUAAUCCAUGUGCAUUUCUAUCCACCAAUAAAAAAAAUCAAUUAAUAAUAAUAUAAAUUAAAAAAAUAUAUAAUAAAAAAUCUUAAGACUCUCUCUCCCUCGUUAAAUCGCCAGCUGGUUCCCUACCACUCAUGAUAACUACCCCUCACUCUCUCACACGUAUACUGACUCA